GACGAACGCUGGCGGCGUGCUUAACACAUGCAAGUCGAACGGAGUGGCGAACGGGUGAGUUACACGUGGGUGACCUUCCCUGCACUUCGGGAUAAGCCUGGGAAACUGGGUAUAAUACCGGCUAGAGUGGGAUGGGCGCGCGGCCGAUCGGCUUGUUGGUGGGGUAAUGGCUUACGAAGGCGGCGUCGGGUAGCCGGCCUGGGAGGGUGGACAGCCACAUUGGGACUACGACACGGACCAGACUGCAACAGGAGACAACAGGGGAGAGUAUGGCACAAGGGGCGGGAGUGUGAUGCAGCGGCGCCGCGUGGGGAAUGACGGCCUUCGGGUGAGAAACUCCUGUCACCAUCGACGCGGUAAAUGGAGAAGAAGCACCGGCUAACUACGUGCCAGCAGCCGCGGUAAUUC
rnacentral:rRNA from 1 species